CUUUACCCAAGUGGUUACUUGCACUUUGCUCAUAAGCAUAGCAAUGAGCUUUUGGCCUACAUUUCUUCUACGUCUAUUCCAUUUCUUCACACUUUCUCUCAUUUCCCACAACCACAUUUCCGCCACACCACCCCA
ensembl:ncRNA T12A7.11 ncRNA